AUCUGCCUGUUUUGAUGGGUCUGUGUGUGUGAAUAAGCGAGAGUGUGUGGGAGAGAGUGUUUAUGUGUUUCUGGUGGCUAUGCAGAGUGUCUGCCGAGCAGCAAGUGUUUCCUGUCCAGGGAAGCUGAGAGAGAGAUUAUAGGGACUACACGUGUAUUCAGGAUGAAAAUCAGAAAGCACAGGCUGCUCCUGAUCUGCUCAGUCGGGAUUUGUGUCGUCUCUCUUCUCUACUGCUACAAAACUCUCCAACAGGACACGUUUCACCUUUCUGUUCACCAGUCGGGUAUAAAGUCCCUGUUCCUCAGAGGCUUCUUCUGGGGAGAUUCACUAAGCAUAGUCCUGGUCGGCCACAAUAACAUCCUUUCUAACAGGAUCAGCCACCAGAAGGAGGUAAUAAGGAAAGGGGCAUCUGAUGGACAGGUGUCAGAUCUGGUAAUGCCUGAUCCCACUGGUCCGCAUGGGGAUAUCCACAAGCGACAGUAUAUUCUGCAGGAUGAUUUGACCCCAUAUUUUUUAAGCACAGAAGCGGGUGUGCUGUGCUUCCGUGAAGGG